rnacentral:lncRNA from 1 species
AAGGGGGGUAAUGUUCCCAAAAGUGAAUGUAAGAUGAAGAUUUGAAAGCUGUUCCAAUGAGAUCUCUUUGGUUCCUUCCAUUCUAGCCCAGUCUCCUUGCUUCCAUCAGCCACCACUGCAGUUCAGUCGGGCCGAACAGCUGUACAAUUGAGAGGGAUUUAAACUGUCCCCCAAGUUUGCCUCCUGCACAGCACCCAGAGUUCUGCUGAAGAUGCCAACAGGUGCCAUGCAUCCAUGCCAGCACAGGGGUCCCUUAGUGAGAAAGGCCCUCACAGCCACAAUAACCAUCCAGUGGGGCUUGGCAAUCAAGAACCUAAUUAAAAGAUAACUUGUCAAGAGAAACUCUAGUUGAAGUCUGCCCCAUCUUUACAUGAAAAAUAUGUGGCUCUGUUAUAACAGUGGUCAAACCUCUCUCAAAACUAUGAGACCCUGGGAGAAAGCAGUGACAUUCUUCUAUUUGUUCUUUUCCCAAGAAUAGGGAACAAAAAAUUACUUUCCUCUGCUUUUCAGUAAUUACCAAAUCAAAUGGCCUGAAGCUUUCUUACUAUCUAACCAGAAAGCAGAUCCCUUGCCAGAUUCCUAGUUGAUAAAGUCAUCACCAGACACCGUAUUGUGGCUCCUAGGCUUUCAUCUGGGGACACAGAUUGGAAGGGAAAAAAGGCACAGGCUUUUACUGGUCUGGGAACGGUCAGAUGAUAAAAUCGGGAUCUGUGAUGAUCCAGCAAGCAUCCGCUGAGAGGCAGCUGUUUACCCAAGAGAGAGGCAGGACUUUGGAGUUCAUCAGCUUCCAACAAAUUUUCAGGAAGGAGCCCGGUAUAUUCUCUUCUACCCACGUGUUCCGAACUUAUUACAGACAAGACAGCGGGAGGAUCUCAGAGAACAAGAGCCUAAAACUAGUGACUACUGAGGUUACAGAUAGAGUGGACAACUGACAUUUGCCUCCUUAACAUCCAUUCUACCUUUUUUUGCCUACAGCUAAAGACUUUUGUUUCAGGAAUAUAUCAGUCAGAGUUGUCCAGGAAAACUGAGUGGGCACACACACACACACUCACACACACACACACAGAGAGAGAGAGAGACUUAUUAUGGGAAUUAGCGCACAUGAUUAUGAAACUGAGAAGUCCCACCAUCUGCUGUCUGCAAGCUAGAGAAGCAGGAAAGCCAAUGGUAAUUCAGUCUGAGGCCAGAGGCCUGAGAAUGGUGUGGGGACUGCUGGUGUAACUCCUAGAGUCCAAAGGACUGAGAACCAGGAGCUCCAGUGUCCAAAGGCGGGAGAAAACAGAUGUCCCAGCUCAAGGAGAGAGAGUGAAUUUGCCCUUCCUCUUCCUUUUUGUUUUAUUAGAACGCUCAAACAGAUGAGAUGAUGCCUGCCCACACUGAUGAAGAUUAUCUUCUUUACUCAGCCUACUGAUUCAAGCACUAAUCUCUUUUGGAGACACCCUCCCAGACACACCCAGAAAUAAUGUGUUGCAAGCUAUCUGGGCAUCCCUUAGCUCAGUCAAGUUAACACCUAAAAUCAGCCCUCACAAGAAUCUACCUCUCCUUCUCUCAGUCAAAGCGCUGCAUUCUCUGCAAUAAUCCAAUAGCACCCAUAAUAUGCAAUAGCACCAAUGAGAUGAAAUGGAACUUUUGCUGGGACUUCUGGAAAAGUGACCUGAUAUGUUUUCCCCUGAGACUUGAAGGUGAGAAGAGGUGAGCGUGGAGUUGUGCAGCCACCGUGACCCCAAAGGAAGAGACUCUGAGAAUAAGGCCAAGAUGAAGGUGGCUAGGGUCAUGACAUACAUAGAAAGGGGGCAUGAUGGCAGCAAUGUGAAAACAAGCAGCCCCCCAGGCCCAGAGCAUCACAUGAAUAAUAAAUUCCCUUUUUGCCUAAGCUAUUUGGGGUAGGACUGCUUUUGUCGAGUGCUAAAGAAAGCAUCCUGUCUGAUAAGACAUGAUAUGGCAAAAAAAAAAACCACAGGUCAGAAUGAGACCAGUCACAUGUUCUCUGUUUUCCAUUUUAAAUUUCCAAGCAUGUGCUCACUAUUCACAUGGCCAAGGAAGGUGUCACAUUAUCACCUGAGGAGGGGCUCCUUCCAGUUUGUUUCAGCCUUCUGUAGGAGACAUCUAUUUUCAGAACAAGAAAUCCUGAUGGGAGGCCAAUGUAUUGCUUACUGUCAUUUUAAUUUUAUUCUUAUUAAUAGUAAUUACGAUGCAUCUCUCAAUAUCCAGAGAUCAUUCAGUUAAUCCAACAUUGGCAGGAGGUGUGUUCUCCACAUUUGUGGAGACAGUUUUGCUAUUAGUCAUCCACAUUCUCAUAUGGCCCCCAUGGUGACAAUGGCUUAUCCAAAUCCUCCCUAGUCCUCCUGUGUGUUUUAAUUAAGUUGGCCACUCUACACUAGCCACUUAAGAAAGAUAGGGUUAUUGGGGACUGUACACAGCAAAGGAAAAGAUAGAGAAGCCAUCACUCUAUUCUCCCACUCUAGGUCCCAAUGCAGCGUAUUCCUCCAAUCUGAUAUUUCUUGCUCAGGAUGAAUGAAGCAUGAGGAUGUUCAUUACCUCCCUUAACGUAUAACUUGGCAAUUGAAAGACAGUCCCCUCUUUUUUUUUUUUUCUUGCCUUUCUUUUAUGAUGGAAAUUGUAAAUAUCAG